GCGCAGCCUGAUGCAGCGACGCCGCGUGAGGGAUGACGGCCUUCGGGUUGUAAACCUCUUUCACCAGGGACGAAGCUCUUGUGACGGUACCUGGAGAAGAAGCACCGGCCAACUACGUGCCAGCAGCCGCGGUAAUACGUAGGGUGCGAGCGUUGUCCGGAAUUACUGGGCGUAAAGAGCUCGUAGGCGGUUUGUCGCGUCGUCUGUGAAAUUCUGCAGCUUAACUGCAGGCGUGCAGGCGAUACGGGCAGACUUGAGUACUACAGGGGAGACUGGAAUUCCUGGUGUAGCGGUGAAAUGCGCAGAUAUCAGGAGGAACACCGGUGGCGAAGGCGGGUCUCUGGGUAGUAACUGACGCUGAGGAGCGAAAGCGUGGGUAGCGAACAGGAUUAGAUACCCUGGUAGUCCACGCCGUAAACGGUGGGUACUAGGUGUGGGGCUCAUUUCACGAGUUCCGUGCCGUAGCUAACGCAUUAAGUACCCCGCCUGGGGAGUACGGCCGCAAGGCUAAAACUCAAAGGAAUUGACGGGGGCCCGCACAAGCGGCGGAGCAUGUGGAUUAAUUCGAUGCAACGCGAAGAACCUUACCUGGGUUUGACAUACACCAGACGCGGCUAGAGAUAGUCGUUCCCUUGUGGUUGGUGUACAGGUGGUGCAUGGCUGUCGUCAGCUCGUGUCGUGAGAUGUUGGGUUAAGUCCCGCAACGAGCGCAACCCUUGUCCUGUAUUGCCAGCGGGUUAUGCCGGGGACUUGCAGGAGACUGCCGGGGUCAACUCGGAGGAAGGUGGGGAUGACGUCAAGUCAUCAUGCCCCUUAUGUCCAGGGCUUCACACAUGCUACAAUGGCCGGUACAGAGGGCUGCGAUACCGUGAGGUGGAGCGAAUCCCUUAAAGCCGGUCUCAGUUCGGAUCGGGGUCUGCAACUC
rnacentral:rRNA from 1 species